ACGCUUGAAGUCAGUCGCGUUGGCCAGGGAUCAGCCUCGCUUUUGCGUGGUGUACUUUCUGGUUGAUGGGUCAGCAUCAAUUUUGACCGUUGGAAAAAGGUUUGGGGAAUGUGGCAGCUUCGGCUGUGUUAUAGCCCCUUGUCAUAUACAACGGUUGGGAUUGAGGUACUCAGCACGCCGCAAGGCCGGGUUUCGACCACGUACGUGCUUAGGAUGCUGGCAUAAUGGCUUUAAUCGACCCGUCUUGAAACACGGACCAAGGAGUC
rnacentral:rRNA from 1 species